rnacentral:rRNA from 1 species
GGCCUUAGCGCGGUGGUCCCACCUGACCCCAUGCCGAACUCAGAAGUGAAACGCCGUAGCGCCGAUGGUACCCCAUGCCGAACUCAGAAGUGAAACGCCGUAGCGCCGAUGGUAGUGUGGGGUCUCCCCAUGCGAGAGUAGGGAACUGCCAGGC